rnacentral:misc_RNA from 1 species
GAGGUUGGCAACAAAGGAGCCAAGGGAGACCGAGGCUUGCCUGGACCCAGAGGCCCCCAGGGAGCUCUUGGGGAGCCCGGAAAGCAGGGAUCUCGGGGAGACCCCGGUGAUGCAGGACCCCGUGGAGACUCAGGACAGCCAGGCCCCAAGGGAGACCCCGGCAGGCCUGGAUUCAGCUACCCAGGACCCCGAGGAGCACCCGGAGAAAAAGGCGAGCCCGGCCCACGCGGCCCCGAGGGAGGCCGAGGCGACUUUGGCUUGAAAGGAGAACCUGGGAGGAAAGGAGAGAAAGGAGAGCCUGCGGAUCCUGGUCCCCCUGGUGAGCCAGGCCCUCGGGGGCCAAGAGGAGUCCCAGGACCCGAGGGUGAGCCCGGC